UACGUAGGGGUGCAAGCGUUUGUCCGGAAUUAUUGGGCGUAAAGAGCUCGUAGGCGGUUUCGUCGCGUCUGCCGUGAAAAGUCCGGGGCUCAACUCCGGAUCUGCGGUGGGUACGGGCAGACUAGAGUGAUGUAGGGGAGACUGGAAUUCCUGGUGUAGCGGUGAAAUGCGCAGAUAUCAGGAGGAACACCGAUGGCGAAGGCAGGUCUCUGGGCAUUAACUGACGCUGAGGAGCGAAAGCAUGGGGAGCGAACAGG
rnacentral:rRNA from 1 species